rnacentral:rRNA from 1 species
UACGUAGGGUGCGAGCGUUAAUCGGAAUUACUGGGCGUAAAGCGUGCGCAGGCGGUUUUGUAAGCCAGAUGUGAAAUCCCCGGGCUCAACCUGGGAACUGCAUCUGUGACUGCAUCGCUGGAGUGCGGCAGAGGGGGAUGGAAUUCCGCGUGUAGCAGUGAAAUGCGUAGAUAUGCGGAGGAACACCGAUGGCGAAGGCAAUCCCCUGGGCUAACACUGACGCUCAGGCACGAAAGCGUGGGGAGCAAACAGG